rnacentral:misc_RNA from 1 species
AAACUAGUUGGGAUCGGCUAUAUGUAUUCUUUUUUGCCAUUCAGUUUUGCUCAAGACUAGUUCUGCAUCAAUAUUCAAGGAUUUUAAAUCUUUCGAAAUUAUAUUAAUUAUAGGACAAAAGUGCUGAUUUCACUUAAACGUCAACUCCGUUGACCUGCACUUUAAUCUAGGGGCCAUGUCUUACAAGGUUAGUUUCAGCAAUUUCCAAGUCAAAAUCUAAUCCUCUAUGAUCUACCAUCUUUGCCGUGGCACAUAUUUAGCAACAGUAAUAUAAAUGCAUAUGUAUGCUAUUUCACGAGGUUGCAAAUGAAUUCAACUUGCAAAAUGCGGUUUUACGAUAAUACUACCAAACAAACGCCUAGAGGGAACAUCUUGCUAAGUCUUCUUGCAAAUGAAGUCUAAAUAUAUGAAUGGUUCAACAGAAAUUCAAAACUAUUUUGACAUUAUAUAUACCUAGAGUAAAGGGUUUAUGACCCAGAAAAACGCAAACCUUUGGAUAGACCAACAAUUAUGGCCAAUCCCUUCAAUUUUGUCAAUUAUAUACACAAA